GCUUAAGUAGUUUAAAGGUAAUAACGUUAAUUUCUUAAAUUAAAAAUGAGAGUUCGAUUCUUUCCUUAAGCA
rnacentral:tRNA from 1 species